rnacentral:lncRNA from 10 species
AUUAUGCAGCCUCCCCUGCCAUGUGGAACUUAAUGCUGAGGUCAAGCAAUGGCAGUGGAACUGUACAGGAUGUGGGGGCUGGGCCAAAGCCGUGGGACUCCGGAUUUAUUUUGUGAGUUGGAGAAUUGUCUAGUCAUCAGACCAACAGAGGAGCAAACCUCUAACAGCAUCUCCCUGCUUCUUCCCACCCUCUCAACAGGAGGCAUUGGAGAAGGUUUAUCUAAUGACUGACAUCUGACGCAUAAGGUGCAGGCACACUUACUCAGGGUGCGAAUAUUUACUGAGUGUCUCUGUGGGGCCAUACACUACUCUAGGCACUGGACAUACACCAGUAAAGAGAAGCUGUCCUCAUCUGUCUUAUUUUCUGGUCUUAAAUCUAAAGCCAAGAGGCAUUUAGCAGCACAAAUCCUCUUCAGCAGUCAACACUCCCAAAGUUUCAGGCACUGAGGAAAAUAAAAACAAAACUGUGGCCCUUUCCCAAGAAGCGCACAGUGUCCACAAGAAUGUGAAAGCCAUCUGGAAACUGAUAAACUGCAAAAAGCUCAGCCAUCUUCUGUUGGCAAAAUAAAAGAAUGGAUGUCCUUGGAAGAACGAUGUCCUUGGAAAGUCAUCAAAUAAAAAUGUGAGAGAAACACAGCCAUUAGAAGCUAAACAGCUUGGGACACCCUUGUUUACACAGCACGAUCACUGUAAUAUUUUGAAGUAAAUUGUUGUUUUUAAAAUCCAAUAAAAUCUACUUUCCAUUCACCUUGAAAAUGUGAAUUGAAACUCAAGAGCCAAAAACAAAAACAAAAACAAAAAACACAUGAGAACACUACAUGCUGACCCUGAGUCUCCAAAACAUCUAUUUUGUGCAAAGCACUUUGCAGUAUCCAAGUACUUCACAUUCAUUGCCUCACGGCAUGAGGACCCCCUCAAGGCCUUUAACCAUCAAGAUAUUGCUGCAUUCGUGGGGGGAUCUCCUUCCCAUUUUUCUGGAAAAUCACUUUUCAAACAAAGAUUUUAAAGGGCAGAACAGAGCCAACCCAUGGUUUCCACAUAAGUCACUGCCAAAAAUGUAGAAGACAGACUUGUGAUCAUUUUUAAGAGGAAAACUAGCAGAUUCUAUCUUAGUCACACAAAGUUAUCAACUCAGGCCAAAAUGACAAAACACUUGAAGGGCUGGCUUCACUAUUUCCAAAAUCAAAAUAGUCAUCAACAAGUGGUUAAAAUCGGGGGAAGGUUGCACUUAUCAUGUUUUAGAGGCAAGCCAUUUCCAAGUUAAGAUUUUAAGAGGCACAAGCAACCAAGAACUCACAAUCAUGAUACGGUUUUCUCUUCCACCUAGGACCUAUGUCCUCACCUCCUCCACUCAUGUUCACCUUUAUUGUAAAAAUAGCAACGCUGGAAGUAAUGGCACUCUAGGAGCAUUGGGACGGAUUUCAAAAAUCCUUCUUCUGAGCCCAAUAGUGUCUUAAGCCAAGUAGACAGCUCGCAGGGUAAACACAUAGCAAAAUAUAUUCUAGAGCACUACCAUGCAGGCUGGUUUUGCCCUAAGGAAUCAAACUACCUGCAAGUUCUGGAUCCAGGUUUCGAGGGAGUAUGGUGAGCUGUACAGUCUUGUGAACUAGGGGACUCGCACAUUUCUGGCUUCCACUACCCCGGCCUCCCUCUUUUUUGUUAGCUCCACUUAAAGGGAAAGCCCUGUGUACACUUCUUAUAUUUUAUCUUUUUUUUUUUUUUUUUUUGAGAUGGAGUUUCGCUCUUGUUGCCUAGGCUGGAGUACAAUGGCGUGAUCUCGGCUCACCGCAACCUCCGACUCCCAGGUUCAAGCGAUUCUCCUGCCUCAGCCUCCCGAGUAGCUGAGAUUACAGACAUCUCCCAAGUAGCUGAGAUUACAGGCAUGCGCACCACCACACCUGGCUUUUUUUUUUUUUU